AAACCGAGUUAUAGAGAAUUCAGAAGAAAGAAGAAAAUAAAAAAGAUAUGGCAGAAGCUGUUGUUUCCUGUGUGAUUGAAAGACUUGGAGACUUGCUAAUCGAUGAAGCCAAAUUCUUGUGGGGAGUCAAAGGCCAAAUCGAGAAUGCACAGAGCAAGCUGCAAUGUAUGAGCGCUUUCUUACAAGACGCAGAUGCUUUUGUAAGAAAUGGUGAUAGGAGAGUACGUCUUUUGGUUGUCAAAGUCAGAGAUACUUCUUAUGACUUGGAGGAUGUUAUUGAAACUUAUGUCUUCAAAGUGGCUCUGAAGAAGAACGAAGGUGUGGUGAGUAAACUGAAAAGAUAUGUUUGCAUCUCCAAGAAAGGAAUUGAUGUCCAUGGAGUUGGAUCAAAGAUAGAGGAGAUCUCAUCUAACAUUGAUACUUGGACUUCAGAAUUACAAAAGUAUGGAGUACAUGAGUCAAUGGUUAUGGCAGCUGGAACAUCUUCAAACCAAGUUCGUGAGCAAAGACGACGGGCUUAUUCUCAUGUUGUGGAGAAUGAUGUUGUUGGAUUUGAGAAAGACAUCAAAGAAUUGGUAGCCCAUUUGACUGGGAAAGAGAAUCCUCAAAAUCCUAGGGUGAUCUCUGUAUGUGGGAUGGGUGGCUUGGGGAAGACUACCCUAGCCAGAAAGGUUUAUCAUCAUCCUCAAGUCAGGAGUCACUUUGAUUGUUUUGCUUGGGCCUCGAUAUCUCAGCAGUGUAAUAGACGCAACGCCUGGGAAGAAAUCUUAUUUGGUUUCACUUCUCCCACCAAGGAAAGAAGAGAAGAAAUCAAAAUUCUCAGUGAUGGUGAAUUAGCGGAAGAGCUCUACAACUUUCAGAAAGAGAAGAAAUGUUUGGUGCUCCUCGACGAUAUAUGGUCCACUGACACAUGGGAUCUUCUAAAAGAUGCAUUCCCUCGAGGUGACAUUGAUAGCAAGAUUUUACUCACUACUCGAAUGAUGAAUAUAGGUCCUUAUGCGGAUCAACAUUGCUACAUCCAUCAACCUACGUGUCUCGAUGAGAAUCAAAGCUGGGAGUUGUUUCAGAACAAAUCUUCAUAUUUUGGAAAGGAUCAAACAACCAUAAAAGAUGCGGAAAGAAUGGAAGCACUCGGGCGAGAGAUGCUUAAAGAUUGCUCUGGUUUGCCAUUAGCUAUCAUUGUGCUCGGAGGGCUUCUUUCUACGAAACACUCAGUUGAUGAAUGGGAGGAGAUGAAAAGAAAUGUGGUGAGAUACAUAAGUAAAGGCAGAGAGCAUGGUGACUCGGAAUGCCAUGGUGUUUCAUGGGUGUUAGGUUUGAGUUAUGAUGAGUUGCCAUUUUACUUGAAGCCUUGUUUUCUAUACUUGGCUCGUUAUCCUGAAGACGCCAUCAUACAAGUAAAAGAAUUAUGUCUUAUGCUCAUAGCAGAAGGUUUUAUAUCGCCAAGAAGACAUUCAACAAAAACUAUCGAAACUAUCGAAGAUAUAGCAUAUGAUAACUUAAGUGAGUUGGUGGAGAGGAGCAUGGUUCAAGUAGAAAAUUGGGGUUUAACUGGAAGAAUGAAAACAUUUCGAAUUCACGAUCUUAUGCGAGACUUGUGUGUGUCUAAAGCUCAAGAUGAGAAUUUUCUACAUCUUAUUGAAUUGAGGAAUCAGGUGGAAGAGCCACUAAAACCUAUAUCUACCGUAGCAAGGAGAGUUUCCAUUUAUUCUCAUGGUUAUUCUGGUGAUGAUGUUUUUAGUUUUGUUGAUAGCAAAAAUGGAUCUCUUAGGUGCCUUACUGUAGAUUGGGGAGUAGGUUGGGGAGGUAUCACACAACAAGAUUUGAGACAUGUGUUUAAUAGGUUUUUCAUGCUUAGAGUUUUAAAUCUAAGUUUAGUGAGCAUUAAUAGUUUGAAGUUGCCUGAAGAAAUUGGAAAGCUUAUUCACCUAAGGUUGUUGAGUAUUAGUGCCAAGGUGGAAAAUAUCCCAUCUUCUAUUGGUAAUUUGAGAUGCCUGCAGACUUUAAAGUUAGUACUGUCGCGGGGUUGUGAAAGAGUACCAAAUGUAAUCUGGAAGUUAGAACAACUUAGACAUUUAAACUUCUUCGUUAUGGGCGUUAGACUGGCGAGGACAUUGAGGUUACCUAACAUUAGAAAUUUACAAACAUUGAAAGGUGUUUCAACUGAGUGCUUUGAUUGGAAUGAUUUUCUACAGUUGAGGAAUCUCAAGAAAUUAAAGAUUUUUCUAGGUGAAAAUUUGGAGAAUAUUUACCACGAUCCCCCAAUCGUCACAUUUGAUUGUCUUCGCCAUUUACAAGUACGUAGUCAAGUACGAAAUGCUAUAGAUAUUGUUCCUAUGAUAUUAAGCUACCCUCAAAUUUAUAAGCUUAAACUAGAUGGGAGAAUAGUAAAAUUACCAGAAUACAACCAAUUCUCCCCAAACCUUAUCAAGUUACAGUUGAUUCUCACUCAUCUUGAGUAUGAUCCAAUGCCAACCCUAGAAAAGCUACAGAGUUUAAGAGUCCUUUCCUUAUGUGGUAGCUUUAAGGGGAAUGAGAUGGUGUGCUCAAAAGGAGGUUUCCCUCAACUGGAAUCUCUUUUCAUGGAUCGUCUAUACUACUUAGAAGAGUGGAAGGUGGAGGAAGGGGCCUUGUCUAGUCUUUGCUUUUUGUGGAUUUGUGAUUGCAAAAAAUUGAGGAGAGUUCCUGAUGGAUUAAGAUACAUUACUACGCUUAAGGAAAUGAAGAUGGAAGGUAUGCCUUGGGAAUUCAAAGAAAGGUUGGAGGAAGGAGGAGAGGAUUUCUACAAAGUCCACCACAUCCCAUCCCGUAUAUUUCUCCAAUGUUACUAUUGAUAUGAGCUGGAGCGAGAAGACGAUGAGUUGUUUGUUUGGAAUAGUUUCGGAGAGCCAUCAUUAACAGGGGAAUGGGGAAUGGGUAUGGGUGCUGCUCUUUCCUCUGAUUUCACUCCACUGGUGCACAACUGCUAUGGCAUUGCCUCCUCUAUUCAACUGCUAUACAUUGUCGGAAAUCGUUGACUCAUUAGGACUGAAAGACCCCUGUAAAAAAAAACUGGGUGGACUUGCUGGAUUUCUUCCUUGUUGGAGAUUUACAUGUCUGCGGAAUGGUACGAGCCAGGUUGCUGUCUGGAGUGACCUCUUCAUGGAAGUGUGGCUAUUGUCGAAGCUCUUGUACGACGAUUGCAUAAGUUUGGUGGACAACUUUCUCUAGGCAUAAACAAGGACUUUCAAAUUGACCAUAUAGUCGGAAAUGACUGGGAAAAAGGAGUUGAUGCUGAUCAAAAUGUUGUUCUAAUAUCUGUACCAAGUGUACAUAGUCCUGGUCUUGUGCCACCUCAGAAACAUGUAUUACAUGCUUAUCUGCCAGGGACUGAACCUUAUGAACUAUGGAAAGGACUUGAUCAUCUAAUAUCUGAAAGAUCAGAGGUUAUGUUGAGAGCAGUGGAAGGUGCAAUUGGUCCCGGGUUCAGCAGGGACAAGUGUGAAGUGAAGUUUGUUGGAUCCCCAUUGACACACGAACAAUUUCUUAGGAGUAACAGAGGAAGAUAUGGGCUAGCCAUAGAAGCUGAAACUGGCAGCUUUCCCUGACAUAGGAGUCCCUGCAGUGGCUGCCAGAGGAGCCACAACACUCGCAACUCCUUUUAUAUGCUUUCUUCAUUACCUAAGUUGGCCUCUCACUUCUUUUAUUUUCCCAACCAAACAAUGAUUAGUUUGAGAAUUGUUAUGAUUCUCUAUAUAGCUUGUAAUAAUUAGUCUUGAUUGUUCAUACUAAACCUGAGAAGUACUUUUUUUUUAAUCUUCA